GAGGCCGACGACCGCCUUCUCCUGUGGGAGAAAGGGCCGCCCGCUCACCCACUGAGCCGACCGGGGGGGCCGGAGAGAACGUCGAACACACGCGAGGUCGGCGUACGUUACUAGGGACUUCCGUCCCCUCGUUCCACUUGCGAAUUUAGGGAACCGAACACCCUAGCGAUUCAGAAAUGCCAGAGGAGGCUAAAGGUUGGAAUACGGGAGCAGAGGGAAGAGCUACGUCGGAGGAAAACGCUGGAAAAGAAAUCGCUCUGGCCGAUUUUUCUGGCCCGAGAGCCGUGAGCUCCUUCCUUCCGGUGCACCGGGGUGUCCCUGGGGCUUGUGGGUAAGCGUGCCCCCCAUCAGACCGCAACCCUUCGAGCACUGUGUUCCCGAGCGCCUAGUACAGUGCUCCCUCCUCACGAGGGAGGUGUUCACUAUAUGCUGCUGCUGAGGAAAACCGACUUUUAAAGUCUUUCGUGUGGGAAGGUACUUUUUCCCCCUCCUUUCCUUUUAAGAUGAGCUAUUUCUCCUUUUGGAUAGUUAACAGAUUUGAUUACAGCGGGGCUAGCCGGAGAGAAAAACUCCCUCUGAACGGUCUCGUGCUAAGUAGGCAGAGGGUGAGGUCUCCAAAAUUCUGCGGCAAAGAUCGGUGGCAAUUUCUGUUGCAUUUUUAUGUACCUGCAGAAUGCACCUUUGGCUGCAGAAUAUCUGGGGACCUGAAAAAAAGAAUCCCCACCUUGAGUGCGUACCGGUACCACCGAAAGGGGAAUGUUACGCAGCUCAGGAGUGCUCUGCCUUACCUUACCCAACUCCAACAGAGCAGCCACCUCUCCGGAGGCCUUCGCUGAAAGGGAGAGGGGGAAGGCUCUGAUCCAGCGCUGCCUGUUUUCGGGUGACGCGCUGCCGAUUCUGACUCAAUAAUUGUGGUAUUUGUUAAGCGCUUACCACGUGCCAGGCGCUGACUCGGAAGGAAAGGCCAAACCGAGUCCCGAGGACAACUGGGAUAUGGGCAGUUAUGGACCGUUAUGCCCAGCUGCUUACGACAGCAGUAUUCUAACUCUCCAUGAACAACUCCAGGGCUCGCAAGACCAGCCAGUCAGGAGAAGCGCAGGACGGGGGUGGCAAAAAGUUCUCCUGGACUGACAAAACCUAGAAAAAUGGCGAGGGCGGUUUUCACAGAGCCGAGCAAAACCACACGGGGAGGACUCGGGAGUAUGGAAGAAUGGGCCUCCCCAAGCCCUACCCCCAUCGAUGACCAUGACGAUUUCCGGGCCUCUGGAGUAAAUGUCGGAAUGAGAGUGUCCCUAGGAAGCAGGCUUCGGUGCCCAGGCAGGAGCCCGUAAUUCCCAGAGAACAUGGGAAAGCUCAGUUCCUUUGAACCGUGAAUCCACUGCCCUGGUCAAGGAUGAGGCAAGCCUGGAGUGCCGAGGGCCGGUUCCGGCAACCUGCAGGACCCCCCGUGCUCCCAUAAGAACAGUUAAUGGUGGCGGGGGGGUGUGUGUGUGAGGGGGAACUACUCACCUGGAUCGUGAUCGGUGCCGCCGCCUGGGCCGGGUAUGGGAGGGGGACCGGGAACGAGUCCGUGACCUCGAUUUGGAUCGGGAUCGGGACCGGGGGCGGGUUUUCUCCUUUUCUUUCUCUUUCUUUGAAUUCUUCUCGGGAGAAGGUUCCUUCGGUUCUGGGACGGGUUCGGGUUUGGGGGCUUUGAGGAUGUCACUGUUAAAACCCAAAGUUGGGACUUCUCAGCGCUCUCUCUUUUCGUAUGGCGGGCGGGCCCCGCUGAGCUCUCCUCCCCCAGCUGCCGAGCUCUCGGCACUCGCUGGCUCCAAAAUGGGGGUAGUUCUCAAUCACACCCGGCCAGUACGAGACGGCUCGGUUACGUUUUGGUCUCGGGGACCGCCGGCCGCUUGGGGCCGAAGCUAGCCCGCCUCCCGGAUCGAGGUGUCUAUACUUGCCUAGUGGACGUGGCCUCUUGAAUAGACGGUUCCUUGGCUUUCAGAGAGGGUUCUGGGAGCUCUGGAGUGGCCUCUUUCUUUUCCGGGGCGGGGGAAGCGCUCCGGCUCUUGGUUCUGUGACGGGGAGAUCGAGAGUGACUGCGCUUUCUCUCUCGCCUUACUGGGGAGGACCGUCUUCUAGGGGAAGGAGAUCUCGAUUUGCGUCUAGGACAAAAGCAGUUUCUAUUUCAGGUCUCGGGCCGACGCAGGGGACAAGGCUUUGGUGGAAGGGAAAAGUCUGCGUUUGCGGCCUGCUCUGGAGAAAGCCCCUCCUGGAAACUCACUAGGCAUUCGAGGUGCAUUCUCACCGCUGAUGGGCUGUGGGGAGCGAGAGCGCCAGAGGGGUCAGAAAACAGAACGAUGAACUGAGACGGUUCGUUAUGGGAAAGGCACCGGUGGAAACUGACCUGCAGGCUGGAUCUUGGCACUGUCCUCUCUCAAGGGGGAGGAAGGGGACAGGCUCAAAUGAGCCUGAAGGCCAGGGGACACAACCUGGGGUCAGGGUGACCCCCCAUUUCAUUCCCCGCCUCAAAGAGGACCCCAGGUAUUUGGCUUGCCACUAGGUCUAGUCACAAAACCAUGACAAUCAGAGAGCACUCCUCUCCCUAUGGUCCUUUAGAUUAACCCAGAGGAACACUACUGACCAAGACUGACCAAUGUCCCUCCUGGAAAUUAAGCAAGGAUCACUGAACUGGUCCUUCACUCAGAACGCUCUCCUUUUCGAUGUGGGUAGGCUACUCGGCCUCAGGCUUUCAAACGACUAAGGAGAGCACCACACUACACCGCUCAGAGUAAAGCUUUCUUUCACCUCUAAGCAGGCUUCAGUGGUAAACGCUUAAAUGGAAAGGAUUAAAGAUUUAAUGAAUUAGCACCACCUUCUCUUGGUUUUGCAAGGGGCAGCUGGAAAAGAAAACACCUGAGGAAAAAGGGAGCCCUUGGAAAUCUCAAAAGGCCUGCCAAAGAAUAAAAUGCGGACUAAAUCCAAA